GUUUAAUCUAAAACAUGAUAAAAAAAAUCUGUUUAGUUUUUAGUGCACAGAUAUCGCUUAUCUCUUAUCAAAGACAGAGAGUCAUUCUUGGGGUGACACUGGAUGGAACUGCUCCCAUCUUUAAGUACCCUUGGUUGCAAAGCCUCAUGGGUCCUGCCUGCAGCAUUCCAUCAGCUGAAGGAGAAGGGCCACCCGGUUUGCCCCGUGGAGGCUGAGUGUGACUGGCACUUUGUGAAAUUCGCCUGGCAAAGCAUUGUGGGUUGUGAAAUGCCUGUGGACGGGUCUGGAAACACCCUUGGGAUAGAGGCUGUCGGGCACCAGGAAGCCCCUGCUGCUGUCCUGUCCUUCUUGUCCCCGCCUCCUCAGCAGUGGCCAGCAGAUGGGGCAUCUGGUGGCCCAAGGGAGCCCCUUUCCUCAAAGGCUGGGCCGCGGCCUUGGUGGUAGAGAGGCAGGCAGCAGCGAGUUGGCGGCCUGGACAAACAGUGUCAUUUUUCAGGCCCUUGGCUUCAUCCCUAACAGGAGUGCAGGAGUAAGUGAUCUGCCAGGCCCCUUUCAGCUCUCAAUUUUUUAUUUCAUUUCUGUUGCAAGAUCAUUGCUUUUAUUUACUGGGGGCGGGCACUGACCCCCAGAGGAAGGUGUCUCCUGUACAGCAUCUGUGUGACACCUCAUCACCUCCUGUUGCUUCCGGGUGAGAGAUCAGGGCCUUGGGAAAUGGAGUUAAAGUCACAGCAGCGGAUCCUGCAGAAAACCCCCCAGAGACCAAUGCAGUGAGAGCCCGAGAGCUCUGGAAGAUGCCUCUGUACCGUGGCGUGGGGACUCUCUGAGGUCUGGGCAGCGCUGUCUCAGGCCUGUAUUUGUUCAUUCUUUCUGCAUACUGGAGCCCCCAGCAGCAGGGCGUCCGGGCCUCAGCCCAGGUGUGGGACAGGGCUCCCUGACGCCCGCUCCCACCCACUGCUGGGAUUCUAAGGGGCAAGGAG
rnacentral:lncRNA from 1 species